UUCUCCAAUUGCUCAAUCUAAGUCUAUAGUCAGAAAGAACCAAACACAGAAUCAAAUGAGCUUGAUUAGAGAUUGUGGAGACUAGCUUUGAGAGAAAGAUAGGACAGCAUUGCUACCAUGGACAACUGGACAGCUAGAGAUUAGUCCAAAGGAAGCAAGUCUCUUAUCUUGUUCUUACCCUGUGGUUGAAAUAGAUGGAACAGAUCACCUAGGUCCAUCUCAGAUCGUCCUUCACUGUUC